rnacentral:rRNA from 1 species
GACUCUUGACGGUGAUCACUCGGCUCAUGCAUCAAUGAAGAACGAAGCUAGGUGCGAGAAUUAAUGUGAAUUGCAUGACACAUUGAUCAUCGACACUUCGAAUGCACUUGCGGCCCAGGUUCCUCCUAAUAACUAAAAGCUCUAGCGUGU